ACACAUACGCGUGAAUCAUCGAAUCUUUGAACGCACAUUGCACCUUUUGACAUUUGUCAUGAGGUAUACUUGUUUGAGUAUCAUAUCAACUCUCACCUUCUAUCUGGGGAUAGACUCAAGGGGUGGAAUUGAGACUCUGAGGCUCCCUGAGGGCUUCAGUUUCUUUAAAAGUAGGCCUUGUAAGUCUUGGCUAUAUGUCUAGUGGGAUAACAUCCUAACAUUAGACUGCCCUGACUUGAUGCCCAAGGCAAGCAGUCGAACGGAAGCCUAACCCGCUACCUUUGACAUUGGGGGUCCUUGGAUGGACCCUUCGUACUUGAAGUUGAUCUCAAAUCAAGUAAGACGACCCGCUGAACUUAAGCAUAUCAAUAAGCGGAGG
rnacentral:rRNA from 1 species